UACAGAGGUCUCAAGCGUUGUUCGGAUUCAUUGGGCGUAAAGGGUGCGUAGGCGGCGCGGUAAGUCGGGUGUGAAAUCUCGGAGCUUAACUCCGAAACUGCAUUCGAUACUGCCGUGCUUGAGGACUGGAGAGGAGACUGGAAUUUACGGUGUAGCGGUGAAAUGCGUAGAUAUCGGGAGGAACACCUGUGGCGAAAGCGGCUCACUGGACCAUUACUGACGCUGAUGCACGAAAGCUAGGGGAGCAAACAGG
rnacentral:rRNA from 1 species